rnacentral:lncRNA from 1 species
GAAAGAGCAGAUAGUGUACAGCAAUGCAGCAACUCAAGCAAACAUCCAACCUCGAACAGGCUGUCACAUUUCCAUAACAGAACCAUUCAAAUAGACAUUUAAACUCAAAAAAUUUACUCGAGAUCUUGACUUAAAUGAAAACACGACAUCAUGAUAGCAAUUAAAGCAUAAAUAUAGAGGACGACCCUUCAAACUCAGCUUUUACUAACUGAACAUACUCAACUACAUCACACCAUUGUGAAGAGAUUCACGAGCAAGAAAUUCGAUCAUAAUACAAAAUAGACCACUAUAAACUGAAUCCCAUAGCUCAAAAGAACCAAAACAAAACACAGUUGCAUAGAAUAAAAGAGAAGAAAAUUGAACUUUAAUUUGGAAAUCCCUUUUAUAAUAACUAUAAACUCAACAAUACAACUCUGGACCCCAAACCGUAGUGAGGUUCAGCAGCAAAUUAGCAAGACGACAGUAGAAAACCAAGCUCGAACUUCAAUUUGUAUCUCCUUGGAACUCACAUCCGGAUUCAAAAAUAAAAACUGUAUACAUGUUUCUCUUAAACUUUGAAAAAACUCUUCAAAAAAAGAAAUGGAAUCAAAAAACCAGAAAAAAUCGAAGCCUUUCAACUUUUCUCUAAAUGUUUGUUUCCCUUCUCAAAAUCGGAACUGUCCCUAUUUGAAAACAAUUCUCUUGAUGAGCUAGGGCUCAUAUUGAAUGAACUCAAUCCAAUGCCUCACACUCAUCCAGUGAAUCCGCCUCAAGAACCUUCCAAUUGUGAGAUAUAUCCAAUUUCAAGUGAGUGAGAGGAGAGGGGAAAAACCGUUAGAGCUGUAAGAGGAGGGAUGGGGGAACGCGUGGGUUAAGGAUUUGGUAUUCACUCACCUGAAUUUUGGACUGGGGCUUAAUUCGAGUGUAUUCUGGUGGAGAAGAAGAAUAGUCACGUUGUUGGGUUUGAG